rnacentral:rRNA from 1 species
GCGGUGGAUGAUGUGGAUUAAUUCGAUGCAACGCGAAAACCUUACCUACCCUUGACAUGCCAGGAACUUUCCAGAGAUGGAUUGGUGCCCGAAAGGGAGCCUGGACACAGGUGCUGCAUGGCUGUCGUCAGCUCGUGUCGUGAGAUGUUGGGUUAAGUCCCGCAACGAGCGCAACCCUUGUCAUUAAUUGCCAUCAUUCAGUUGGGCACUUUAAUGAGACUGCCGGUGACAAACCGGAGGAAGGUGGGGAUGACGUCAAGUCCUCAUGGCCCUUAUGGGUAGGGCUUCACACGUCAUACAAUGGUCGGUACAGAGGGUUGCCAAGCCGCGAGGUGGAGCCAAUCCCAGAAAGCCGAUCGUAGUCCGGAUCGCAGUCUGCAACUCGACUGCGUGAAGUCGGAAUCGCUAGUAAUCGCGGAUCAGCAUGUCGCGGUGAAUACGUUCCCGGGUCUU